ACCCAGCCUGAGAAAUCAAGCCUUUGCCUUUAGCCAAGUGCUACAACAUCUUCCUGGAGGAAAUAUGGAUAGCCAGGCUCUGUGGUGGAGGAGGGUCUUUUUUCUCAUUUCCCCAUUAGAAAGGGGGGAGAUUUCCCUCACUGGCCUUUGUCCCUUUCCCACCUGAAAUGCUUCCCCUUGGUUUACUCUUUCUGCCUCUCUGAAUCCCAGGAGGACCAGUUCAAAUCCCCUUUCCUUCCUGAAACCCUCCCUAACUCUCUGAGGAAAACAGUAACCCCCUUCCCUGUGAACACCUGGAUAACCCUACUGCCCAGGCUGCUUGACAUUUUGGAUGUUUUCCCUUAUACUGACAAUUAUUUUUGCUCAUAUUUCUUUUUUAUGCUGCUUCAGAGUGGACAUACUGCCCUGGGAUUUUGUAAAACCUAUUGUGUAUAUGGCAUACAUUAAGAAAAAACUUCAUACUUUGGGAGAAAAGCAUCUAGAAAGGAAUUUGAAGUAAAUAUAUUAACAAAAGAUUGUUACAGGUUCCAGAUUCAGAGAAGUACAACUGAUCCAAACAGUUAUAAAAGCUUAGGAGACAGCUUUCGGAGGAUUUUUCGAACAGAAGGGUAUGUAUUGUUUUUGAUACAUAGACCCUUUGUUGAGAGAGGCAUGUUAAUGUAUUUGUGCAAAACAUAUUUUCUCAUUUUCCAUAGUUUAUUUUCCUAGCUUUAUUGGGAAAACACUUAAAAGUGGGCUUUCCAACUUUGUUGUAUUUUUCCUGACAUGAUUAAAAACUGAAUAUGUAUAUAGUAGAAACUUCCACAGAAAAGGUUAUUAAUAGCUUGCUUAAUGAUUAGAGGACAGUUUCCAAUUUAUAUCAUUAAGGUUUUCAAAAGUUCUUAUAACCAAGGCCACCUAAACUUGACAGUUCUUUAUUUUGUACUUAAAAAUAAUCCCCAAAUGCAUUCCUUGUUUGCACACUGGUUUAUAAAUAUGCAAUCAAAACAAAUCUGUGUCAAAAACUGAUGCAUCAAAUCCAUUAUCAUAUCUAUUAGAUCAAUGGUCCCCAGCUUUUUGGGGACUGGUUUUGUGGAAGACACUUUUCCAUAGACUGGGGUGGGUGGGGAAGAGGAGAUUCCAGCACAUGACAUUUAUUGUGCACUUUAUUUCUGUUAUUAUUAUGUUGCAGUAUGUAGUGAAAUAAUUACCAUAAUGCAGGGGACUGUUGGUACUUUCUUUUAAAUGUAGCUUUUUUUCCCCAGUCUUAGAUUCUCCCACUGUAUCAUCAUUGGGUCUUUCCCCCUUUUCAGAGAAGCUCUCUGGUUAUGUAAUAUAUUUGCAUUCAAAAAUUAUUUUCAUAAGAGAAUUGCUUAAAAAUAACUAUUGAACAUCUUACAAUAAUGAUAAUUAAUAUAUAUUUAGACUCUAUUAUAUACUUAGAAUUCUCCUUACAACUCUGCAAGGUAGGUUCCACUCCAGUUGGACAGAAUUCAAAAAAAUGUAGAGAAGUUAGUAAAUUUCACAUGUUUGUAAGUAGAGGAGCUGGACCUCAAAUCCGUAUCAGCUUGACCCUCUGUAGUUCAUUACCUCUCUUGACAGAUUAUACUAUAAAAACUAUUUUACUAAUAAUUUAUUUUAGUCAAACCUACAUCAGUAAUAUCUUUUCAGGCCAAUAUAUCCUUAAAAACAGCUAUAUGCUACAAUUUAUUAAAUUAAUUCCUUAGGUGAAUCUUAAUUUUUUUCAGAUUUUUGCUAUUAUAAAUAAUAGUGCAAUAAAUAUUCUUAUACAGUCA
rnacentral:lncRNA from 1 species